UGGGGAAUUUUGGACAAUGGGCGAAAGCCUGAUCCAGCAAUGCCGCGUGUGUGAAGAAGGCCUUCGGGUUGUAAAGCACUUUUGUCCGGAAAGAAAUCCUUGGCUCUAAUACAGUCGGGGGAUGACGGUACCGGAAGAAUAAGCACCGGCUAACUACGUGCCAGCAGCCGCGGUAAUACGUAGGGUGCAAGCGUUAAUCGGAAUUACUGGGCGUAAAGCGUGCGCAGGCGGUUGCUAAGACCGAUGUGAAAUCCCGGGCUCAACCUGGGAACUGCAUGGUGACUGGCAGGCUAGAGUAUGGCAGGAGGGGGGUAGAAUUCCACGUGUAGCAGUGAAAUGCGUAGAGAUGUGGAGGAAUACCGAUGGCGAAGGCAGCCCCCUGGCCAAGUACUGACGCUCAUGCACGAAAGCGUGGGGAGCAAACAGGAUUAGAUACCCUGGUAGUCCACGCCCUAAACGAUGUCAACUAGUUGUUGGGGAUUCAUUUCCUUAGUAACGUAGCUAACGCGUGAAGUUGACCGCCUGGGGAGUACGGUCGCAAGAUUAAACUUAAAUGAAUUGACGGGGUCAUAGCUG
rnacentral:rRNA from 1 species